GGCAGCAUAUUGUAGUGGUUUGAGCAUUGGACUAAGACCCUGAAGACCAGGGUUCGAUUCCCUACUCAGCCA